AGAGUUGAUCAUGGCUCAGGAUGAACGCUAGCUACAGGCUUAACACAUGCAAGUCGAGGGGCAGCAUGUGGUUGCUUGCAACCGAUGAUGGCGACCGGCGCACGGGUGAGUAACGCGUAUCCAACCUUCCCUUAGUAGGGCAUAGCCCGUAGAAAUGCGGAUUAAUACCCUAUGUUCUUCGAAGCGGUCAUCCAAUUUGAGCAAAGAUUCAUCGCUAAGGGAUGGGGAUGCGUCCGAUUAGGUUGUUGGCGGGGUAACGGCCCACCAAGCCAUCGAUCGGUAGGGGUUCUGAGAGGAAGGUCCCCCACAUUGGAACUGAGACACGGUCCAAACUCCUACGGGAGGCAGCAGUGAGGAAUAUUGGUCAAUGGGCGAGAGCCUGAACCAGCCAAGUAGCGUGCAGGAUGACGGCCCUAUGGGUUGUAAACUGCUUUUAUCAGGGGAUAAAGUGACCCACGUGUGGGUUUUUGUAGGUACCUGAUGAAUAAGGACCGGCUAAUUCCGUGCCAGCAGCUGC
rnacentral:rRNA from 1 species